AUGAAAGUGAGAGCAUAUGAACUCGGGACGAGGCUGUGGCUGUGUAAGCCGGCACGCAAAUUCUGAGUCAUGUAGGACGGUAACAAGGGAACGGACUGUGUCAUACUGCAUUAGCCUCAAACACACACACACAUACAACCACACCAACCAACACACACACACACACACACACACACACACACACACACACACACACACACACACACACACACACACACACACACACACACACACAC